CAGGCUUAUAGUUUAAUUGGGUUUAGCGCACCGCUCCGCUCAUACGGUGAAAUUGUAGGUUCGAGUCAUACUAAACCUGA